UGAUGUCUGUGGGGGCGGGUAAUGAGGCACAAAGGUCCGGUCCAUCAGGACUGGAAGGAGGUGAGAAAAUGGCCCUGACACUCCUUGUCUGAAGACACAGUGAAUAGAGUCUUUGCCCACAGUAUCCAGCCCUCCUGUGCAAGCAGGCUCCCGGCCAGACGCUCUUGAAAGCAGCGUUUCCAGACCCUGAAGAAAACCUCUCUUCGGCUUUUCUGAUACCUUAGGACACAUGUUGCUAACGGAUGCCCAAAAUAAAUGGAGAUGAAGCACA